rnacentral:rRNA from 1 species
CGCCGAUAUGCUUCGGGGAGCUGUAAGUAAGCUUUGAUCCGAAGAUUUCCGAAUGGGGAAACCCACCAUACGUAAUGGUAUGGUAUCCUUAUCUGAAUACAUAGGGUAAGGAAGACAGACUCAGGGAACUGAAACAUCUAAGUACCUGGAGGAAGAGAAAGCAAAUGCGAUUUCCUGAGUAGCGGCGAGCGAAACGGAACAUAGCCCAAACCAAGAGGCUUGCCUCUUGGGGUUGUAGGAC